AUUGAACGCUGGCGGCGGGCUUAACACAUGCAAGUCGAGCGGGGUGAUGGUGCUUGCACUAUCACUUAGCGGCGGACGGGUGAGUAAUGCUUAGGAAUCUGCCUAUUAGUGGGGGACAACAUCUCGGAAGGGAUGCUAAUACCGCACACGUCCUACGGGAGAAAGCAGGGGAUCACUUGUGACCUUGCGCUAAUAGAUGAGCCUAAGUCGGAUUAGCUAGUUGGUGGGGUAAAGGCCUACCAAGGCGACGAUCUGUAGCGGGUCUGAGAGGAUGAUCGGCCACACUGGGACUGGAACACGGCCCAGACUCCUACGGGAGGCAGCAGUGGGGAAUAUUGGACAAUGGGGGGAACCCUGAUCCAGCCAUGCCGCGUGUGUGAAGAAGGCCUUAUGGUUGUAAAGCACUUUAAGCGAGGAGGAGGCUCUUUUGGUUAAUACCCAAGAUGAGUGGACGUUACUCACAGAAUAAGCACCGGCUAACUCUGUGCCAGCAGCCGCCGUAA
rnacentral:rRNA from 1 species